rnacentral:rRNA from 1 species
AACGUAGGUGGCGAGCGUUAUCCGGAUUUACUGGGCGUAAAGGGUGUGCAGGCGGGCUGUUAAGUGGUGUAUGAAAUAUCCCGGCUCAACCGGGAAGGGUUAUGCCAGACUGGCAGUCUAGAGAGCGAGAGAGGGACGUGGAAUUCCGGGUGUAGUGGUGAAAUGCGUAGAGAUCCGGAGGAACCCCAGAGGCGAAGGCGGCGUCCUGGCUCGCAUCUGACGCUCAGACACGACAGCAUGGGGAGCGAACAGG